rnacentral:rRNA from 1 species
CAGCCGCCGCGGUAAUACGUAGGUGGCAAGCGUUGUCCGGAAUUAUUGGGCGUAAAGGGCUCGCAGGCGGUUUCUUAAGUCUGAUGUGAAAGCCCCCGGCUCAACCGGGGAGGGUCAUUGGAAACUGGGAAACUUGAGUGCAGAAGAGGAGAGUGGAAUUCUACGUGUAGCGGUGAAAUGCGUAGAGAUGUGGAGGAACACCAGUGGCGAAGGCGACUCUCUGGUCUGUAACUGACGCUGAGGAGCGAAAGCGUGGGGAGCGAACAGGAUUAGAUACCCGUGUAGUCCCUGUCUCUUAUAC